AUGUUGGGUUAAGUCCCGCAACGAGCGCAACCCUUAUCCUUUGUUGCCAGCGGUUAGGCCGGGAACUCAAAGGAGACUGCCAGUGAUAAACUGGAGGAAGGUGGGGAUGACGUCAAGUCAUCAUGGCCCUUACGACCAGGGCUACACACGUGCUACAAUGGCAUAUACAAAGAGAAGCGACCUCGCGAGAGCAAGCGGACCUCAUAAAGUAUGUCGUAGUCCGGAUUGGAGUCUGCAACUCGACUCCAUGAAGUCGGAAUCGCUAGUAAUCGUAGAUCAGAAUGCUACGGUGAAUACGUUCCCGGGCCUUGUACACACCGCCCGUCACACCAUGGGAGUGGGUUGCAAAAGAAGUAGGUAGCUUAACCUUCGGGAGGGCGCUUACCACUUUGUGAUUCAUGACUGGGGUGAAGUCGUAACAAGGUAACCGUAGGGGAACCUGCGGUUGGAUCACCUCCUUACCUUAAAGAA
rnacentral:rRNA from 1 species